rnacentral:rRNA from 1 species
CGUUAGCGGCGGACGGGUGAGUAACACGUGGGCAACCUGCCUGUAAGACUAGGAUAACUUCGGGAAACCGAAGCUAAUACCGGAUAGGAUCUUCUCCUUCAUGGGAGAUGAUUGAAAGAUGGUUUCGGCUAUCACUUACAGAUGGGCCCGCGGUGCAUUAGCUAGUUGGUGAGGUAACGGCUCACCAAGGCAACGAUGCAUAGCCGACCUGGGAGGGUGAUCGGCCACACUGGGACUGAGACACGGCCCAGACUCCUACGGGAGGCAGCAGUAGGGAAUCUUCCGCAAUGGACGAAAGUCUGACGGAGCAACGCCGCGUGAGUGAUGAAGGCUUUCGGGUCGUAAAACUCUGUUGUUAGGGAAGAACAAGUACAAGAGUAACUGCUUGUACCUUGACGGUACCUAACCAGAAAGCCACGGCUAACUACGUGCCAGCAGCCGCGGUAAUACGUAGGUGGCAAGCGUUAUCCGGAAUUAUUGGGCGUAAAGCGCGCGCAGGCGGUUUCUUAAGUCUGAUGUGAAAGCCCACGGCUCAACCGUGGAGGGUCAUUGGAAACUGGGGAACUUGAGUGCAGAAGAGAAAAGC